rnacentral:rRNA from 1 species
CCUACGGGUGGCUGCAGUGGGGGAUAUUGCACAAUGGGGGAAACCCUGAUGCAGCGACGCCGCGUGUGGGAAGACGGUCCUCUGGAUUGUAAACUACUGUCGCCAGGGACGAAGAUGAGGGUACCGUGUGAUGAAGCUCCGGCGAACUACGUACCAGCAGCCGCGCGAAUAGGUAGGGGGCAAGGGUAUUCCGGAAUUACUGGGUGUAAAGGGAGCGGAGGGGGAGUGGCAAGUUGGGUGUUAAAUCUACGGGUGAAACUGGUAGUUGCACUCAAAAAUGGUAAUCGUUAGUACAGUAGAGGGAGGCGGAAUUCCUAGUGUAGCGGUGAAAUGCUUAGAUAUUAGGAGGAACACCAAUUGCGAAGGCGGCCUACUGAGCUUUUACUGACGCUGAGGCUCGAAAGUGUGGGGAGCAAACAGGAUUAGAUACCCUGGUAGUC